GGGUCCUGCCCCUUGAGGAUGCCCCCUUUUUUUCUGCUUCUCAGCAUUUUUACGACUGUGCAUAGACAUUUCCCUUUACGAAGAAGUGGGUUUGAGUGAUGUCUCCCACUAGCAAUGAAAGAUGCUAGCCACAACAAGGUCAUUGGUCUAGGAUUUGCUCAAGAACAUAGCAAAAUGUCCAGGACAGGGAGUGAACCAGGCAGCCUCUCUCCCCGCCGCUGGAGCCUCCCGCUGCCUCUCAGAGACCUCAGGGCGGUGAACUGGCCUCUGACCAGCCGCGGUGACAUCCCUGCCUGCACACAGUUCAGCGGCCUCUCACUGGGGUACAACUUGAGCUCUCAUCUACAUAACUGAAGGCUGCACCCAGGGCUGUAAAGAGUGAAAAUGCAUUGCCGAAGCAUGAGCACCUCCUGCAGUUCUCAGUAGACAUUUGGGAAGCGAGUGAACCGCCCUGUAUGGAGUGUUUGGAGGAGGUCGGAGGGUGUCGGGCCUGAGCCAGGGGCUGCCCUGGGCCUGUGUCGGGUGGCGCAUGCCAGAGGAAUGAGAUGGGAAGGGCAUGCACGCGGGGUCUUGGCAGCCCUGGAGCUGGCCUAGAUGCAGCAGCUUUCUGAUAAAGCGAAAUUGUUCCAUCGGCUUGCCAUGCUUUGCUUAGCCAUCCGCACUUCACUGUUGGGCGAAAGAAGAUUUUAAAGAACACCCUUAGCAGAUGUCAGAGUUUGGGAUUUGGGGUCCAUGAUACCCAAAUAAGAUUCCACUUGAAGAAAGUAACACGAAUUGCUUUCAACACAUCAAUCAACAAAGAGCAUUGAUGGAUGAAGAGGACAUUGAUAAAUGGGAUGUCUUUUUGCUGAAACUCUAACUUACAGUAAAGGGGGGAAACUCACAGAAGCCCAGUGGAAGCUUCUGGAGCCAGGAGCUACACUGACUCUCUCCGCAGAGGGUGUGGAGGGGUAGGCGGCAGUCAGCCCCCAGCCCAGAGUGGAGGGCACCUGGGCACAUGUGUGAUCAGAGCCCACAUGGAGGGAGGCCAGGGUCCAGCUUCCCUUCACUCUGGGAACAUGGGAGGCCCUGUCCCCAG
rnacentral:lncRNA from 1 species